AAUUAGACCCACCGCACCACCGCACGAACCCUACCUAUUCACCACCUUCUUUCUCCAGACUUUUUGCCCCAAAUCCACGCGCGCCGCCGCCAACCCCAAUCCACGCGCGCUACCGGCCGCCCCCAAGCCACGCGCGCCGCCGGCCGCCCCAAAUCCACGCGCGCCGCCGGCCGCCCCAAGCCACGCGCGCCGCCGGCCGCCCCCAAGCAACGAGCGCCGCCGGCCUCCCCAAAUCCACGCGCGCCGCCGGGUGCCCGAUCCACGGGCGACACCGGCCGCCCCCCAAGCAACGAGCGCCGUCGGGCCCUUCCUCAGGCGCCAGCUCGAGGGCUGCCUCCCUCCCUUGGUCGCGCCCAGUCCAGCCUUCCUCCGGCGCCGGUCGUGGGCCGCCAGUCACCCUGGGUCGCCGCCGUUUCCACCUUCCUCAGCCGCGAGGUUGAGGCGCGCCGGCCUCCCUGGUCCGCCGCUAGCCCGCUACCCCCACCUUCCUCCGCCGCGAGAUCAAGCACCGGGGGGCGCCAUGGGCGCAGGACAAACCACAUCGCGCGAGUUCACAUGCCCCGCCGCGGGUAGUUCACAUCACUCUACGUUGCCAGCAUGUGCAACUCCAUCUUCAGGUUCGUGAGAUGUAUCUCUCGGCAGUUUGCUGUGCGAUUUUAGGGAGUUUCUUGUGCGGUUUGGUGGCCACCCGAGGUGCUCCGGAUACAUGGCCGCCCACUGGAUAUACCCUGUCCAUUUCUCUAAACUGAAGUGCCUUGCCUUGCCCUGGGCAGUGAACUUCUUCGGUGAUAUAAAAACUGUUGCAAGUGCUGUACUAUAUUUCUUAACUGCUGCUCCGUGUGUGAUUUUUUUUCAUAAAGAUUGUUUGCUAGCUUUGUAUUUGAGCAAAUGUUGGAUGAUUGCAGCACAUAAAAAACUGUUUCACCUAGUUCACAGAUGAAGUUUACUCAUUUUUAUUGGAAAUUCGUUUCAUAGACUGAUUACUAUCAAAGCACAUAAGCACCAAACUGUGAAAUUCGAUUUUAUUUAAGAUGCAAGUGCACUUUUAUUUAAAAUGCAAGUUCGCUUGUCCAACUCAAGAAGUUCACCUUUUUUAUCGCUAAGUUUUGUUUUGUCAGGAAGUUCACCCCAUAUGUGGCUGAAAGUUCAUCAUUAUCUAGAUGGUAAACUUAUCUGAAUAGCUAUUCUAGAAGAACUAGGGUGUGAUCGAGUAGGAGCAAAAAGUUCAUAAGUGCAAAUUUGUAAUUUCAUGUUUGAACUGCCGCAGUCUGUAUUUAUUUUAAUCAAUGCACUGGAUUACUAGUUCAGUAGUACUGAGAUUCUAUUUAAUGGAAGUUGGGAGAAGCAAGUGAGCUGCUUCUACGUAACGUGACAAGUCUGGUUAUUUACUACACCUGGUCGUUUGCUGGUUCGUUCUCUCUCGCUAAUGAAUUCUCACCUAUAGCAUUUGCCCUCUACAUAUUUGUUUGAUCUUAUUUUUUGUGGAGUUCACUUCAACCUACGAAGGAAAUCCAUUUUCCUAGUUGGAAAUCCAGGAAAAUGGACCUGCACAUAUACCUUAGUGCAGCAUCGAGUGGGUCUCUUGAAUAUUUUUAGUAGUCCGAUUAGGACCAAAAGGGAGUUCACUUUAUCUUUUUAGACAGCAAUUCAUUCAGUAUGGAUUGUAUGCUUGCAUCUUUACGGAAGUUCAAUUCUAUUGCUGGCAAAGUUCAUUUCAUACUGUGUGUUUUCUAAAAUAUUUUUUUUCAUAAUUUUCUGAUAUAUUAUGAGUAUGAUCUGGGUCUCAUAUUUUCUGGAAACUCAACUUUGUAUGUCGAGAAAAGUUUUUGCAAAAGUUCACUCUUUCAUGCUCGAAGUUCACUAUCUCUUGACAGUGAGUUCAUUUCAUCUGUAGCGAAACCUGUUCUCUGUUUAGCUUUGUGUAUGGGUGUUCGCUCUAUUGUCAUCUGGAGUUCACUCUUUUCUUUUUUUGGUGGAGUUCACACUUUUCUUAUUCUGAAGUUCAGUUUGCUCUUGUCUUUAGUUCGAGGGAAGGAGUUCAUGUUCCUGUAAAAACGUGAGAGAAAAAUGCCACCUUCCAAAUUGAGAGAAGUUCACAAUAGCAAAUUUGGAAAUUUAUCAUAUGCGCCGGGUCUAGUUAAAAGUCAUAGACUGCAGUUGAGAAGUUCUCUCUCACAAAGUUUGAAUUUCCUUGUCAUGAAGUUCACUUAUUUUAUCUCGGAAAUUCAGUUCGUUUUAUUUUGUCUCCUAUUCUGAAUUUUAAAAGGUUAUUGCAAGCAUCCAAGCUCAGAGAUGUAUCACCUUGUUUCUUUUUUCAUGGAGACUCAAGUGUGUUGCCACUACAAAUUCAUGUGGUGUCCCAGUGUCAACUUCUUCUGAAAUUCCUUAGAAACAUUGUAAAUGCUUGCUAGGUAAAUCAUUUCUGAAUCAUUUCAUAAAAUAUUCAUAGUUCCUGGUUCUCUCCUGCAAUUUAUAAUUUAUGUACGAAUUCAGAAGUUCACAUUUUUUAUGUACGAAGUUCGGUUUCAGUUCUUUUCAAAUAUGUAAAACAAAAAUUAAGCUCAUGUAAAAGUCAACAUUGCAGGGCAGAUAUUCUGGCUUCGUGCGUUGCCUCUGAAACUGCUGCACGGUGAGCUGCACGAGGCAGAUUUCGAGUUGCAUCAGGCGGUGGUGGAUGGGAGGUCGGAGAGGGGCCGCCGGUGUUGUUGUGCGGGAAGGUGCGCCGACGCUAUGUAUUCGAGCGUAUCAUCUAAAGCACAGUUGACCUAGGAAGUCCACCCAAUGCCAUCCCGAGAGUCCACCGCUUCAACUAAGGCAGUUGAGAGUCUCCCAUGCCCAGGAAGUUCAUUUCGUCAGUACGGGAAGAUCAAAGUCCAACUUAUGAAAACAAAAUUUGCUACUUAAAAAGACUUCGCGGGUGAAGUGUCUCCUUCUAGCUGGACCACGAUGGCACACCCUCCUGUUAGGAGAAGUUCACGUUCGGGUCCUUAAAUAGUUCUAAGUUGGUUAUGUAGGAGUUAUUUUUUUUAUGGAUUGUGUAAGUGAUUUUUCUACAGAUUAUUUUGUAAAAUAAGUUCAAUUAGGUGUGCGAGUUUACUUGUUUGAUAACAAACUUCCCCAAUUCAUUAGCAGGGAAAAAUGUUCACACA